UGGGGAAUAUUGGACAAUGGGCGAAAGCCUGACCCAGCAACGCCGCGUGAAGGAUGAAGUAUUUCGGUAUGUAAACUUCGUAAGAAUAGGAAGAAUAAAUGACGGUACUAUUUGUAAGGUCCGGCUAACUACGUGCCAGCAGCCGCGGUAAUACGUAGGGACCAAGCGUUGUUCGGAUUUACUGGGCGUAAAGGGCGCGUAGGCGGUGUGUCAAGUCAGUUGUGAAAUCUCCGGGCUUAACUCGGAACGGUCAGAUGAUACUGCUUUGCUAGAGUGCAGAAGGGGCAAUCGGAAUUCUUGGUGUAGCGGUGAAAUGCGUAGAUAUCAAGAGGAACACCUGAGGUGAAGACGGGUUGCUGGGCUGACACUGACGCUGAGGCGCGAAAGCCAGGGGAGCAAACGGGAUUAGAUACCCAAGUAGUCCCUGAGCGGGCUGGCAAGGCGCAU
rnacentral:rRNA from 1 species